AUAAAAAGAAAGAAAGAGAGAGACAUACAGAGCAGCACAAUAAAACACAGAUGUGGCAUGAGUGACGUCUAGUGCAGUGAAGAGGAAUUCCUGCCGGCAGUGUGUUUGGUGAGCUCUGGAUUCUCUUCAUGGGGGUUAGAGUGAGUGAAAGCGAGGCGCUUUUGCGGAUAUAUCCUCCACUGUCUGUGAAAAGCGCAGUGGCACAUUCUGACACACAAAUGCACAUGCAUCAGCACAGCUGCAGGAAAAAACAUUGAUAUGCUGGACAUGCUGCUUGCCAAAAAAGGAAGAAUCUGUUGCUUUUCAUCUGGGAUUUCCACACAGGCUAUUUAUGAGCAUUUAAGCCAGGACACAACAAGCUCUACGUUCUCUCAAAUGUGAACAUCUAAAUCAAAAUUGCCUGCACAGAAGAAAGUUUGUUGCUGUGCUUUCUGUUUCAUGUAACAUGUCCCACACAUAUUUUCUAAACCC